GACGAACGCUGGCGGCGUGCUUAACACAUGCAAGUCGAACGGAAAGGCCCUGCUUGCAGGGUACUCGAGUGGCGAACGGGUGAGUAACACGUGGGUGAUCUGCCCUGCACUUCGGGAUAAGCCUGGGAAACUGGGUCUAAUACCGGAUAGGAGCCAUUUUUAGUGUGAUGGUUGGAAAGUUUUUUCGGUGUAGGAUGAGCUCGCGGCCUAUCAGCUUGUUGGUGGGGUAAUGGCCUACCAAGGCGGCGACGGGUAGCCGGCCUGAGAGGGUGGACGGCCACAUUGGGGCUGAGAUACGGCCCAGACUCCUACGGGAGGCAGCAGUGGGGAAUAUUGCACAGUGGGCGCAAGCCUGAUGCAGCGACGCCGCGUGGGGGAUGACGGCCUUCGGGUUGUAAACUCCUUUCGCUAGGGACGAAGCUUUUUGUGACGGUACCUAGAUAAGAAGCACCGGCUAACUACGUG
rnacentral:rRNA from 1 species